GGGGAGCGAAUCCCAAAAAUAACGUCCCAGUUCGGAUUGUAGUCUGCAACCCGACUACAUGAAGCUGGAAUCGCUAGUAAUCGCGGAUCAGAAUGCCGCGGUGAAUACGUUCCCGGGUCUUGUACACACCGCCCGUCACACCAUGGGAGCCGGGAAUGCCCGAAGUCAGCGGCCCAACCGAAAGGAGGGAGCUGCCGAAGGCAGGCCUGGUGACUGGGGUGAAGUCGUAACAAGGUAAC
rnacentral:rRNA from 1 species